GGAGAUCCAAAGGUCCCCGCGGGUGAGGAAGCAGGCAACGGCAUGCCGAGCAAGGUGGUGGAUCCAGCCCUCGGCACGGAGGUGCUGGGGGUUGUUGUCCCAGUCGACCUGCAGGCAGAUGGGGUUGCUGACCAUCCUGUCAAAAUUGGGGAUGCCAGCGCCGGCAGUGUAGAAAAAUUCCCUCCAGAGGAGCUGCCCGUGCAAGGAGACAGGGGGCUGGGAGUGCUCCCGCUGCUGGCAAAGGCAGGAUCAGCCCCUCUGGCUGGGCUGGCCCCUGUCUUCUCCAGCCCCCCACCCCUUCUGCAGGGUCCCUCUGGCUCAACCUCUGCCCAGCACCCCAAAAAUGCUGCCUCACCCCCUGGUAGACUUCGUGCAGCCACCACCAGAAGGUGCGGACCGAUAGGCAGCCGAAUUUGAGGUAGGGGCUGAGGACUGUGGUGCUGGGGCUCAGCGAGGUGGGCUCUGUCUCGGGCUUCUUGAAGCUGCACAGCCAGGCCUGAAUGGGGGGGACACACAAGGAUCAUGUUUUGGGAUGGGGGGAGGCAAAGCAGCCCUGAAAUUAUGGUGAUGGGUGCUGAGCACUGACCGUCCUGUCCAUGAGUGCGUUGAGCCGGGCGAGUGCUGCUCUCUCCCCGCCGGGGUAGAGGUGAGGACCCACCUCGGUGGGGUCCUGGCCCAGCUCCUCCAAGGUGGGGACCCCGUACUCGGUGUCAUGGCUGACCUGGCAUGGGGUGUGGCAGCCUGGGGUGCCAUGUACGGUGAGGCUGUGACAGCCAUCACUCCACUCCAGGGUGAACAGUGAGGGAGACGCUGACCCAGCUUUGUGCUCUACCACCCCACGUCCACCCCAUGCUCACCCUGGAGGUGCUCCAAUGUGAGUGUCGGGGCUGGCUUCUCCGGGGGUCCGAGGGAUGCCAGGAGGCUCUGCAGGCCCUUGUAGGUCAGGGGGGCUUUGCCAUCGUUCAAGGCAAGGACUCUGAGGUGGGAGAGGGAGGGACACGCUCGGCACCGGGUCUGGAUCCCCUGUACCCUGAGGGACAGCGCCAGGCACCCACCUCUCGGUGUCGUAGAGGGUGUGGGACACCUCCUGGAUCACCUCCACGCCGUGCCGUUCCGCCAGCUUGGCCACGGUGGCAUCGCGCCGGCGGGCAGAGGGUUCGGUGUCCACCUCGAAGGUCAACCGUGUUGUCCCCCAGGCAUGGAAGAGACAGGGGAACACCUCCUCUGGGCAGCCCUGCACCACGAACAGCCUGCCGGGGAACCGGGUGGGCACGAAUCCCCUCGAGACCCCACCAAAUCCCUCGGGGAUGGCACCGGGACUCACCUGGAGCCCAUUUCCUGCAGGCUCCCAUCCAAGUCCCGCAGGGCAUCGAGGAGGAACCGCCAGGCGUUGGUGCCUGCGCGGCUGCUGGAUGGGUCGAGGAUGAAGAGGGGAUGAAGGUGGCGGCAAUCGGUGGCCGCUGCCAGCAGCGCCGGGUUGUCGUGCAGCCGGAGACCUUUCCGAAACCAGUGGAUAGAGCUGUGCUGCAUGGCUGGGGGGGCAAUCCUGGAAGAUCUUCCUCCUCACUGAACCCAGGGGCUGAUGCAUCCCCCUUCCCUGCUCCGGUGCCUGACUCCUGCAUCCCAGGAUCCUUUCCCUGCUGCUGGGAAUGAGGGUUUCUCCUGCCUGUCAGCUCUCAGCCUCACUCGCUGCAGGAGAGGUUUCAUGCCGGUGAUCGGUGGCUGAGCAGCGUGCUGCCCACUAUGGCCAG